AUUGAACGCUGGCGGCAGGCCUAACACAUGCAAGUCGAGCGGUAACAGGUCCAGCUUGCUGGAUGCUGACGAGCGGCGGACGGGUGAGUAACGCAUAGGAAUCUACCCGGUAGUGGGGGAUAACCUGGGGAAACCCAGGCUAAUACCGCAUACGUCCUACGGGAGAAAGGGGGCUUUGGCUCCCGCUAUUGGAUGAGCCUAUGCCGGAUUAGCUGGUUGGUGAGGUAAUGGCUCACCAAGGCGACGAUCCGUAGCUGGUCUGAGAGGAUGAUCAGCCACAUCGGGACUGAGACACGGCCCGA
rnacentral:rRNA from 1 species